CCGCCGGCGACCGGCGCACGGGUGAGUAACACGUAUGCAACCUGGCCGUGACAGAUGGAUAACCGGGAGAAAUCCCGCCUAAUACAACAUAAUGCCGGGAGGGGACAUCCCCUGCCGGCCAAAGGGGGCGACCCCGGUCACGGAUGGGCAUGCGGCGCAUUAGGUAGGUUGGUGGGGCAACGGCCCACCAAGCCGACGAUGCGUAGGGGUUCUGAGAGGAAGGUCCCCCACAUUGGUACUGAGACACGGACCAGACUCCUACGGAAGGCAGCAG
rnacentral:rRNA from 1 species